GACGAACGCUGGCGGCGUGCCUAAUACAUGCAAGUCGAGCGAGCGGAACCAACAGAUUUACUUCGGUAAUGACGUUGGGAAAGCGAGCGGCGGAUGGGUGAGUAACACGUGGGGAACCUGCCCCUAAGUCUGGGAUACCAUUUGGAAACGACUGCUAAUACCGCAUAACACUUUAGUACCGCAUGGUACAGAAGUCAAAGCUUUAUGUGCUGAGAGAUGGUCCCGCGUCUGAUUAGCUAGUUGGCGGGGUAACGGCCCACCAAGGCGACGAUCAGCAGCCGGUCUGAGAGGAUGAACGGCCACAUUGGGACUGAGAUACGGCCCAG
rnacentral:rRNA from 1 species